rnacentral:lncRNA from 1 species
GGAACAGGUGUGAGGGGUGACAACAUACUCAUUCAGCUUUGGACUCGUGCCUGUGGGGGUCCUGUAGGAGAUCUUGCGGACCUGUGCAGUGGGCCGUCGGAAAGGCAAGCCUGACCCUUUCAAGAGAGGUCAGGCCUGGAGACCAAGGGCACUGAAAGAGAACACAGGGCUGAUUCCUUGACCUUUUGCAGUUCAUAGUCUAGUGAGGAAUACGAAUAAUUACAAAGAGACCACAUCUUGAUGAAAUUAUUACAGCGUAUCACCAGGAAAGACUCUUUUACAGCCCUCAGCACUGUUAUUGCGUGAACUGGCUCAGCAUGGCCGGCCCAGUGAAGGACGCCAGUGGUAGUAACCGGGGAAGAGGGAUCCCCUGGCUCUUCUUACCAAACUUCUUCGAUCGUUUGGAGUGGUUUGGCCAUCAGUUAGUCAGGAAGAGGCCAGAAGGACACGUGCUGAUAAUGCUUCAAGAAAGUUAAACUUUAGGAAAAACUCGACCGAAGUAAAAAUAGCUAUGUAGUCAGUGACCAAAGCUACUUGGAUGGUCCUGUUGAUUGCUCUUG